rnacentral:rRNA from 1 species
UACGUAGGGGGCAAGCGUUGUCCGGAUUCAUUGGGCGUGAAGAGCGUGUAGGCGGCCAGGUAGGUCGGUUGUGAAAACUGGAGGCUCAACCUUCAGAGGUCGACCGAAACCAUCUGGCUAGAGUCCGGGAGAGGAGAGUGGAAUUCCUGGUGUAGCGGUGAAAUGCGCAGAUAUCAGGAAGAACACCCGUGGCGAAAGCGGCUCUCUGGAACGGUACUGACGCUGAGACGCGAAAGCGUGGGGAGCGAACAGG